rnacentral:lncRNA from 1 species
GUGAAUCACACAGGGAAAUGCUGCGGGCUAAAAAUAACCCCUGGCUGUUUUUGUCCUGCCGAGAUAUUUUUAAGCUGCUGGCUUUGCCAGCCCGGGACCCGACACCAGCGAAGCGAGCACUGUAAGGGCGAGGGCUGCUCAGUGCCGAGCGAGGAGCUCAGGCUCCAGCUGCCGUACCCCAGCCUGUGGGGUCAGCUGCCUGAAUCCAGCACAGCCACCCGUGCACACCAGCUUGUCACAGCCAGCACGGGCUAAACCCACAGCACCGGCAGAGCCGGGUAAGCAGCCCUUUGAAGCCCCAGCAGCAAACACCUAUGCCGGUGGUUUCGGCACUUCGCCUCUCUUUCAGCUGGCAGAGCCACUGCCUCAAUCGGGAGCAGCUUUAGCCAAGAAAAAUAAGCACUACCUUCCAUUCCCAGGCUUGUUUAUCAUUGUCACGAUGCUCUGCUCUAACCGAGAGGCUGCAUUAUGCAUCAUGCUGCCUACUUGCAAAUAAUAAGCUACAUGUGUAAAUAGGCUCCACUAUUUUGAGUUGAAUAGCUAACAAAUGAGCAAACAAAAACUCCGCAGCCCUCCACGCUCCUGUUUAACUGACGCAACGGAUGCCUUUAUGCGUCCCGAAGGUGACACAUCCAUCACGCUCCGAGCCCCAGCGGCUUCUGCAUCGCUGCCAAAACCCCAAAGCGCGGGGGCUGGCGGCAGGCAGCGAGCACGGGGCUGUGGUCAGGCUGACACAAGCCCUCGUCUGUGGGCUCAGACCUAAAACUGAUGUGGUAUUUGCUCCUGCUACAUCACUGCCAUCGCAGUCACCGUGCAGGCUCUGUGGGGAUGGUUUCAGCCACACAAGAUGCGCCAAAGAGCCAGAAGCCCUUUUUCUUCCCGAAAAGUUAAUUGGAUCAGAGCUCCUCGCUGGCAGCUGGCACCCAGGUGAACUCCAGCCCUGCAGAGGGGCUGCCUGGCAGGACCAGGGUGACCAGGGGACAGAGCCUGGGGACAGAGCCCGGGAGCUGCCUCCUGCAGAGAGGGAACUCAGCAACAUCUCAGGAACUUCAAGAAGGCCCCGUGGCGAUGCCAGCCUCACUGCUCCAUCAAGGCACAGCCCCAUGCCAUGGCAUCACGCAGUGGUUUUGCUCCCAUCAGACAUUCCCCAGGAUGAAUUACCCCCACCAUGCUUCCAGCUUUGUCAUUUGUGAGAGCUGAUUACUGCCAGAGGUCCCUUUCAGCAUGUCCCACCCAGCUACUCACAGGUACAGCUCCCUCCUCGCCUGCAAACUGAGACGGCUUCAGCAGCACUCGGGUUUUGUUAUUUUUUCCAGACUUCAGCAUGCGACACGCCGCUUGCCAUCUUCCUCAAUAAUUAAGCAGUCAGUGCCAUUGUCAAAGAAGCACUUCACUACACUUGUACCAGGUUUCCGACCAACUGCGGUCCCAAGCGAGGCGGCGUUAGGCACCGGGGCUGCAGCUCGGCAAUUACCGGGCUGUAAAUAACGCCUCGGAAUAUACGGUUUGUUGUGGUGAUAACACACAUUUGGUGGGUUACAUAAAUUGGAGCAAUCCUGCUGACAGAGGAAAAAUAGUGGUGUGUAAUGGUUUCCUCCAGUUGCUAGGAAAUAGAGUUAGUGCUGGGCUCCUCGCACGCCUCGGUGCACGCUGGUGACAGAUGAUGGAUGCGGCACAUGUGCGGCGCCCGGGCUGUUAGCGAGCCCUGACCGAGGGGAAGGCAGCCACGCAGUGACAGCGGGAGCCAUUUAACAACAAUAUAUGCAUUUUUCAUUACGAGAAUUACAUUUGUUUGCCCAAGGCGUUUAGGAAAAUGUAAGCAAAGAAUAAAGUUCGAUGGAAAGGGACAGGUGGUCCAUGCAGGCAGACACAGGAGCGCUACGCAGACGCUCCAGGUCUGUGCUAGGGGUCUUCACACCUGCCCAAAGCCCUAAUGCGGAUGGGAUGUUUUUAAAAUGUCCUUUUACAGCACUGCAAAGCUCGUGUCCCCAAAGGGCCAGAUCCAGGCUCUGUCCCAGGUGCAGGCGGUGGGGCAGCCCGUUCCCCUCUCCUUGUCUCCCCGGGGUUUGUCUUGUGCUGCAGCAGGAGCUGGGGCUGGGUCCUGCUUCUGUGGGCAUCUGCUAAAACCAUUGCAGUAGGUGGCAUUGGUCCUGUGCUCCACUUGGCUGGAAAUGGCAUAGGCAUGGCCCCAGCAGAGCCUGACUUUCUUUUCAGAGUGACAAACUUUCCCUAAAAGAAGUUUCAAAUUUCUCCUGCAGCCCUGGGUGCCAUGGGACACCCGUGCGUCCACGUGCAAACUGUUCUCUCCCAAUAACCCGGGCUGGUUCAUCACGUCCUCACGAACCCACCGCUUGGGCUCAACGUCAGCACAAUUCCUGAGCAGAGCGAGGUCGCCUCCUUUCCCACAGAGAGGAGGGAAGGGCCCGGCUCCAGCCCCACAUGGAGACGGGAGGACAACGCAGCUCUGCGUUUCUGGCCCGUGCUCAUCCCCAAUCACAACCAUAUGGGAACGGGAACGUGCCUCCAUAGCCGGGGGCUCGAGGCAAGCAGUCGCUUUCGAUUGAGGAGAGACACAUCGUUUCCCCAGGAUGCACUAUUAAAGAAGAAAAGCCUUGCCAAUGUUAUGCUUUAUAAUGCAAUAAUUUCCCUAACAGCCCAACAUGGUUCAUCAGCAUGUGAUCUGGCAUGUGAUCAACUUUCCUUUCAGCCAUCCGGACGGGCUGCAAGAGGUGAGGGAGAAAACAGACACAGGAUCUGGUUUGGUUUUCAACAAAUUCUUGCACCCUGCCUUGGAGCGUUUCCGUCCCCAUGGGUUCACACCUGUGGUGUGCUGCUCCGAAACCUGGCCACAGCCCCCACUUUGGGCCAAAACUGUGCAAUAUCAGCUCACCUCAGCUCUGCCCACAGUGCCACGGGGUGGUGGCAUCGCUGCAACAAGCCAGGGAGCCCCGGAGUGACUGUGUUUGGUUCAUUAUCAGCAACAAGCCUCUCCCCAGGCACAGCCAUCCUAGCAACCAUUUCAGCAACGCCAGUUAAAUAACUACCUAGCAUCACCUGAAAAUUCAGGUUAGCAGCCUCAAGUAACUUCAUCAUCAUUUUAGAGGGAAAAGAACCACCCCAAAGCCAGCAUCCUUACACACAUUAGGGAAAACGGGCAAUGGUGGUGCCUCCAACUGUGCUGCCAAAGCUUGGACCAAAGCUUGCUGCCCCCAGUUUGCUGCAGAGCCCACAUGGUAAAUGAAAUUGGUGAUCUGCUGCAGUCCUUACGCACACCCGCACCCCGUCAUUAGUACCAGAUGACGCCUUGGGAGGCAAAAGAGAGAAAUCUGCCAUGGGGUUUCCUACAAGGAGGUACAGGCUCGUGGGGGAAACAUCAGCAGGAGCACAGCCCCCGUGUGCCUGCACACGAGCUAAGCAUUUCAGGCAGUGCCGUUUGGCACACGGUCCCGCAAAGGCUCGAGCAAGUGGGAGACAACGUUCCCCGAGGGAACGAGGAGCUUCAGCUUUUGUAGCACAGCAAGCAUGCAAACACGGUAUCUUGAGGGAAUAAGAAAGAUAAGUUAUGUCAUUUCAUCACUGUUCUUGGAACGGAGACAAAAAAGCAAAAGAAAACAAAACAGAGCACCCCCUGGGAUCCAUAAAGAGGAAACUAAAAAUAUGAUAAAUAGGCUGGAUCAGUAUUUUCUGAAGAUGACAUGUUGCAGCCCGUGUUAUAUAUCUGGAUUCCCAUUGUCACUAAGGAUAGAAAUUUUGGCAUGAAGUAAGUAAAGGAGAAAACUGAAAUUUCUGCC